UACGGGGGGUGCGAGCGUUGUCCGGAAUCACUGGGCGUAAAGGGCGCGUAGGUGGUCUGAUAAGGGUGUGGUGAAAGCCCGGGGCUCAACCCCGGGUCGGCCGUGCCGACUGUUAGACUGGAGUGCUGUAGGGGCAGGCGGAAUUCCGGGUGUAGCGGUGGAAUGCGUAGAGAUCCGGAGGAAGACCGGUGGCGAAGGCGGCCUGCUGGGCAGUUACUGACACUGAGGCGCGACAGCGUGGGGAGCAAACAGG
rnacentral:rRNA from 1 species